AUGGCAGCUCCUACUUCACUUCUUCUACUCCUCCUACUGCUGCUGGCGCCGCCGGACUCAUCCGCCGCGCCGGUGGCCGGGCUGAUUCCCGAGCUCAAAUUCUUUGAAAAAUCUAUCUCGGCCAUCGAGGAAGUCGCCGGCUAUUACCUGGAAGAAAAGAAGGAGGAGGGCGUCAAGGACGUCUCCGGCGAGCAGAGCAGCGCCGACGACCGCCAGCUGGGCAACUCGGCGGCCGACAGCUACGGCGCCUUGAUCUUCGACCUCCCCGUCGGGACAUCGCCGCCGCAGGUCCUCCCCUUUGUCAUGGACAUCACCACCGACCUCGUCUGGGCGCAGUGCGGCAAGCCCGGGCCCACAUACGCACCCACCUUCCGGCCGAACCGCUCCGACUCCUUCUCCCCGAUCGGCUGCGCCGACCCGGCAUGCAGCCGCCUGAUGCCCAAGUACAAAUGCGCCGGCCCAAGUGACCGCUGCGGUGGCACCUCCGCCUUCCUUGCCACCGACACGUUCACCUUCGGGACCACGCCCGCCAAAGGCAUGGUGUUCGGCUGCAUCGGCAAGGUCCCGGAGCGGAACCUCAACAGCACAUUCGGCUCCGCCGGCUUCAGCAGGGGGCCGCUCUCACUCGUGUCGCAGCUCCAGAUCUCCAGAUUCUCCUACUUCAUCGACGACGGCGGCGGCGACAAGAGCUUUGUCAGCUUCAGCGUCGCCGACGACGCGGCGCCGGCCAAGGAUAAGGGCAGUCGGAGCACGCCGUUGCUCAAGGGCAAGUACCCUGACCUGUACUACGUCAAGCUAACAGGCGUGCAGGUCGACGGCGAGCUCCUCAAGGGCAUCCCGGAGGAGACCUUCUCCGGCUCCAGUGGGGUGAUCCUCAGCACCACCCUUCCCGUCACCUACCUCGAACAGGCCGCGUACAAGGUUCUGAGGCAAAAGCUCUUGACCCAGAUCCUGCAGCAGAAGGUCGUCGGGGUACCCAAAAGCCCCGAUGAGGACCGCCUGUGCUUCCCCACCAAGGAAUUUGCCGCUGUCAAGGUUCCCACGGUCGCGCUGGUGUUUGACGGCGCCGACGCGGCGAUGGAGCUCAAUGUGAAGAACUACUUCUUCAACGUCGCCGGUAGUGGCCAGACUUGCCUCACCAUACGUCCAUCGACUGGUGGGUCCGUCCUCGGCAGCCUGCUGCAGACGGGCAGGAACAUGACCUACGACAUCCACGACGAAGGCGGCGUGCUGACGUUUGGGCCGGCAAUGCCCGCCGGUGGGCAAGCUGCGGCGGCGACCAAGGGUGGUGCCCCUGCGCCGGCGCAGGCGUCGCUCGUGACAAUAGCCACUCUUCUACUUCUAGGGCGGGUGCUUAUCUUCUAG
rnacentral:rRNA from 1 species